CAUGUAGGCGGCUCUGAAAGUCGGAUGUGAAAGCCCCCGGCCCACCCGGGGAACCGCAUUCGAAACUCCAGGGCUUGAGUGAAGAAGGGGAGAGUGGAACUCCUGGUGGAGCGGUAAAAUGCGUAGAUAUCAGGAGGAACGCCGGUGGAGAAGUCGACUCUCUGGUCUUUUACUGACGCUGAGAUGCGAAAGCUAGGGGAGCAAACGGGAUUAGAUACCCCGGUAGUCCUAGCCGUAAACGAUGGGCACUAGGUAGGGGAAGUUCCGACACUUUCUCUGCCGAAGCAAAUGUGAUAAGUGCCCCGCCUGGGGAGUACGGUCGCAAGACUAAA
rnacentral:rRNA from 1 species